rnacentral:rRNA from 1 species
UCCAACCUGCCGUCUACUCUUGGACAGCCUUCUGAAAGGAAGAUUAAUACAAGAUGGCAUCAUGAGUUCGCAUGUUCACAUGAUUAAAGGUAUUCCGGUAGACGAUGGGGAUGCGUUCCAUUAGAUAGUAGGCGGGGUAACGGCCCACCUAGUCUUCGAUGGAUAGGGGUUCUGAGAGGAAGGUCCCCCACAUUGGAACUGAGACACGGUCCAA